GACGAACGCUGGCGGCGUGCUUAACACAUGCAAGUCGAACGGAAAGGCCCUGCUUUUGUGGGGUGCUCGAGUGGCGAACGGGUGAGUAACACGUGAGAAACCUGCCCUUGACUUUGGGAUAACUUCAGGAAACUGGGGCUAAUACCGGAUAGGAGCUCCUGCUGCAUGGUGGGGGUUGGAAAGUUUCGGCGGUUGGGGAUGGACUCGCGGCUUAUCAGCUUGUUGGUGGGGUAGUGGCUUACCAAGGCUUUGACGGGUAGCCGGCCUGAGAGGGUGACCGGCCACAUUGGGACUGAGAUACGGCCCAGACUCCUACGGGAGGCAGCAGUGGGGAAUAUUGCACAAUGGGCGGAAGCCUGAUGCAGCAACGCCGCGUGCGGGAUGACGGCCUUCGGGUUGUAAACCGCUUUCGCCUGUGACGAAGCGUGAGUGACGGUAAUGGGUAAAGAAGCACCGGCUAACUACGUG
rnacentral:rRNA from 1 species